rnacentral:rRNA from 1 species
CAUUACCAAAUUUCUAAAGGUACUUAGUUUACUAGGAUACCUGGGUAUUGAAAUAUAUACCACAUCUACCUUGUGUGCAAUGUAAUUGUAUUGAUGGAUUUUCUAUCUGGGUUUACUUGGAUGGGAUUUCUAUAUAAACAUUUUAAGCUUUCUUAAGUCUGAAAAGUUUUUUACGUUGAUAUUUUACUUUAGUAAGAUAUUUAAAAUUGUUAAAACAACUUUUGGCAACGGAUCUCUUGGCUCUCGCAACGAUGAAGAACGCAGCGAAAUGCGAUAAGUAAUGUGAAUUGCAGAAUUCAGUGAAUCAUCGAAUCUUUGAACGCACAUUGCGCUUCCUGGCAUUCCGGGGAGCAUGCCUGUUUCAGAAUCAUUAAAACCUCUCACCUACUAUUGUGUUUUAUGCCAAUAGUUUGGUGGAUUUUGAAUGCUUUCGGAUUUAUUCGAAUCAUUUAAAUUUCAUUGUGUGCAGCCAUUAUUUCACUCAUUUUAAAAUGUUUGGUGAAUGGUUCCCAAGUGCAAUAAAGAUUAACAAUCUCUUAUCACUCUUGAGUACCGCAUAGUUCCCGGACAAUUAAUUUUGAAUUGAGAUUUAUGAAUUAGUGAUUGUAUCUCAAAUUAUUAUACGAUUUGUUUAUGCAAAUAAAUAAUUCGAAACUUUGAUCUGAAAUCAAGCAAGAAAACCCGCUGAACUUAA